ACAAAACAAAUUCGUCGUUAAAGUUCAAUUAUUUUAUGCACCGAUAGUUGAAUUUAGAAGUGGAUUCCAACCCUUUUUCUGUACAAGAAAAAACAUUUAGAAAAAAAGUCUUCAAUUUUUUGGUUUUUUUUAUUUUUAAUACGCCAUAUUUUUUUCUGAGGCACGGAGGCUCAAUUUUGACCUCGGAAUUCGAAAGAGCACACCCAAAAAUAGUAAGAAUCAUUGUUUUGGUAAAAAUAUGCUUCGUGAUUCUUUCCGAGAAUGAGGCUGGAAAAUGAGCAAAGAAUUCGAGCUUGUUGGGUGUUAAUGGGUUAAUCGAAUGCGAAUAUGAAGGUGUUCUUUUUUAAAGUCGGGUACUAGGUUCACAUAGCUUACAUACAGUACACUGUAUUUCACAACCUAAAUUAUUGUAAAUUCUUAUAUAAAAUACUUCACAUUACAUCAAUUUUUGUUUUAAUUAUAUUGGCAGAUUAACGUCGUCUUACAUGGCAGUAAUCUUUUUUCAUGCUUGGAUCUUGCCACGUCUUGGUUCAGGACCUUUUUGGAAGCAUAAACUCGAACAAGAAAGCAUACGAUGUGUUACUAAUUGGUGGACGAAUCUGUUAUACAUCAAUAAUUAAGUAAAGUCGUCAGAAAUUGUAAGGAAUGUGUGUUUAAAUUAGUUAAUGUAUUAUUAUAUGCGAAAUAAUUGUUAAAGUUAUUUAUACACGUAUAUCUUAAUUGUAUUCAUCUAUUUUAGUGUAUGUUUCAAUCAUAUUAUUUAUCUGCCAAUUUUCAAUUUUUCAUUCUUAAUCAAUUUAUAAUUUAUGCAUUCUGGCGCAUGUUGCGUAAAAUCGGAUAUUUCUUCCUCGGAACACUAACGUUUGCUAGUUGCUUGAUACCAUUUAUUGCAGCAUAUUCUUAUGGCGCAAUACCUGUUUUGGCAAUAUUUACAGUAAGUUAUUUUGUUAUAUUUGUUACUUACACGUUAUGUUAUGCAGUGUUUUAAUAUGAAACAUAUUUCUUUUUACACGUUUUACACGUUUUAGAGACAGAACGUUUGUUACAUCUGUAUCAGCAAAUGCUAAGUUCUAUAAUCUAUAAUUAUUUUCUGCAAAAUUCUGAGUCACUUUAACUUUUUCAGGGCGCAUAAACUAGAAGAUGUACUUUAUUACAUAAAUUAUUACAUAAAAACACAUAUGUGUGCACCUGCAAAUCUCAUUGGUGUAAUCGCUGGUGCAAUACUUUAUGAUCAUGGAAGAAUAAAAUGGCGACUGUCGAAAUUCUGGUCACAUAUACUAGUGGUACCGUUGCCGGUGAUUGUAAUCGUUGUUUUUCACAUUAAUACCUGCGUUGUGGACCUGCACAAUGAUAGUUGUACUAUCUACUGGUAGCCAAUUAGAAUUUUACCAUAAUAUUUUUACUCCUCGCUGGGUUCAACCAUUGGCAGUAUUGACUUACGGAGUCUAUCUCAUCGCUGAUAUAUUCCACGCUUUUCACAUUGGACGAGCCAGAAGCGCCAAAAUGUUUUCCUGUUUUAAUGUAAUAUGGGAAAGUAUAUCGACUGUGAUUACAUCCUUUGUGGUCUCUUUAUUCAUCGCGAUAUGCAUCAAGAUGCCAUUUAGACAACUGGUAAAACAAUUCUACUCUUCGAAGAAGUAAUAAUACUGAUAAAAGGUAGUAAUAAUAAAUAAGAUUAAAAAAAUAAAAAUUGCUCAUUCUUGUUGUUUAUAUUUGAUUGCCAGAAUCCAUCUGUAUUGUUAUAAUGGAACAGUAUAAGAAGGGAAAGAAAGCAAAAAUGUCUACAAAUUUUUGCGGAGUGGCAGCAUAAUAAUGUAUUUGAACUACGUUAUUUACAGGAACCCACAAAAAUAUUUUUUGAGUUUGAUGAACUUGAAAAAUGGUGUAAUGUAGAUCAAAGUAAUGGAAACGUAAUUUUUUAAGUGUUCAUUCGCAUGGUGGUUAGAAGAUAAAAUACCACUUUGACAAAAAUCAUUUCUUGUUUUUCAGUCUGAAAUAAAUGAUUUAUGCAAUAA
rnacentral:misc_RNA from 1 species